GUGGGGAAUAUUGGACAAUGGGGGAAACCCUGAUCCAGCAAUGCCGCGUGGGUGAUGAAGGCCUUCGGGUUGUAAAGCCCUUUUGGCGGGGACGAUGAUGACGGUACCCGCAGAAUAAGCCCCGGCUAACUUCGUGCCAGCAGCCGCGGUAAUACGAAGGGGGCUAGCGUUGUUCGGAAUUACUGGGCGUAAAGGGCGCGCAGGCGGCUUAGCAAGUCGGACGUGAAAGGCCUGGGCUUAACCUGGGACGUGCGUUCGAUACUGUUGGGCUUGAGUGUGGGAGAGGAUGGUGGAAUUCCCAGUGUAGAGGUGAAAUUCGUAGAUAUUGGGAAGAACACCAGUGGCGAAGGCGGCCAUCUGGACCACAACUGACGCUGAGGCGCGAAAGCGUGGGGAGCAAACAGGAUUAGAAACCCCGGUAGUCC
rnacentral:rRNA from 1 species